UCAUGUUAUAGUGUCUUUUUUUAUAUUAUUUUAAGUAAUAUGUUUGGUUGCCUCGCCUACCCAAUUGUUUUUUUAUUAUGUUGACCAAUUGUUAUGUCUUGUGAGCAAGUCAAAAUGGACAAUUGGUGUAUGAUGGGGAAUUUAUAUUACAUAUUCUGCACACUGCUCAGAUUAUAAUAAUAAAAGUGUCAAUAGAAGUUUACAAAGGACCAUUUUUCUAAAUCUGAUAUUCUCUCAGUAAUAGGAAAGUUAGGUCUUCCUCUACAGACAGACUUGCACUUGACAGAUCAAUCAGGGACAGAGGUGGAUGCAGAUGUGUUUGAGGAACUCUUACAAGCAGGGGAUCUUACCGUCAAUGUGUCCACAGAAAAGUCUGGAGUUGUGCUUCAACCAGAUCAAGCAGAAAUUUCUUUUGAGUCGAAUGUGUCAGACACCGUAUCCUCUGUGCCUUCUGAUUCAUCUGAUGCAACAAUAACUCUUGAGAACGAUGGUGGGAGGAAAAGGACCCACGACGAUCGGGAAUCAGCUGAAGCGAUGGUGAGAGAUGUUCUUCAGUCCAAGCCAGGGGGAGAAAAGGUGUUGCAUGAAUAUGACAAAAUGAAGACAUUGACGGAUGGUACCCGGCGACAUAUGAUAAACCUACUGGUGGCUGACAUGAUUGAAGUUCAUGGGAGGAUCCCACCAACCUAUGUGCGAACAAAAUACGCUCUUGGCAUUAUAACUCUAUUUCCUUACCUCGGGGAUCCUUACUCAAAAAAUGGAUAUGAGCACUUCUAUGAUGCUGACAGUGGAUCUGGUUAUUUGGCCUGGAGGAUAAAGACAGUCCAGCGCAACAUUGCAGUUCUAUCUCGGAGAUGCUCAACCACCUGUACCUAUCAAGCUG